rnacentral:lncRNA from 1 species
CCAAUCUCACCUCAGACUCCGCAGACAGCAGCCCACGCUGGGAGGACAUCUCUCCGAUACAGUUCACACUGAGGCAGAGACGGGCCUGAAGUCAGGAGGCUGCACCAGGGCUGGGGAAGCUGCUCACGCCAUGUGGGUGUGGAGGAGCAGGAGGGGAGCCUUGGACAUUACUCACAGACACUGUAAGCAAACUGAAUUGGAACAACCAGGCACUCAGCGACACCUGGGAGAGCCAGCCCCUGCCAGAGAAGACGGACGGAGACCGUGGUAGGCUGGGCAGCAGCCAGUUCAGUCCGGCGUGAGCGGGAGCAGAAUUCUCCAAGCGGACUGGCAGCGGACCACCUGCAACUUGUCAGCAAUGUGGAGCCUCAGGGCCCGCCCCAGCCUCCUGAAUCAGAAGCCCAGGAGGCGGCCCCCCGGGGGUCUGAACUCACCCUCCAGGGGGUUCUGACGGGUACUGGGGUGGGGCGGCCUCGGCCUGGGUGAUUUGGGGAGGGGCAGCUGGACGUGUGUGUGACUCUGAAGAAGUGUUAAUGAUUUCAUGUCUUUGUCUUCCUCAUAGUAUUUGCAUUCUAUAUGUGAGGAGUGAGGGAAAAAGGAGUCACCAAUGGUGAGGCCCAGGCAUUCUGGUGCUAGUUUCUGGGAGGCUGUUUGCAGGAAGAGUUUUCUCGAAUCUCCCACACAGAUGGCCACCUAGCCUGAC